AGGGCUCUUUAUCGACUCUAGAAGGGUGGGGGGGGGGACUUUCUGGUCCUUCAAGCCCUUUUACUUUGUCCCACCUCUGUGCACCCUGUUCGCGUGAGGUUCCUUCGGAACCUGCGUGAUACUAUCUCGAACUCGUAUGUCUACAGAAUGUAACCUAGCGUUGGAAAAGAAAAUACAACUUUCAGCAACGGAUCUCUUGGCUCUCGCAUCGAUGAAGGACGCAGCGAAUCGCGAUAAGUAAUGUGAAUUGCAGAUUUUCCGUGAAUCAUCGAAUCUUUGAACGCACCUUGCGCUCCUUGGUAUUCCGAGGAGCAUGCCUGUUUGAGUGUCAUCGAAAAUCUCAAGCCAAGCUGUUUUGACAUUGGUCGAAAAAGCCUGGAUUUUGGAAUGGGGGAAGGCCGGCAGUGUUCCCAACCUGGGAAUGGCCGCUCCCCCGAAAAGGCUUAAUGGGAAGGGGCUUGGCACCCGCCCCCUCCAACUCCUAACCCCAACCGCCGGGAACUGGGAACCUUCCCCCCCCGACACUGCGAUAGGGGAAAGCGCGUCCCCUCAUCUCGUGGGAGUACCCGCGGAA
rnacentral:rRNA from 1 species